ACAAGAUGCCCGGUCAUGGCUGUCAUUUUUAUCGGACGUGUCUCCCGCGGCUCCUCGUCGCAGAACUAAUUACGGAUAAUGUGCACUUUACCUCCCGCCUUUAACGCAGAAGCCUACAGUUGGCCCGUGCUGUUGGUUGUAUUCUCAUGCAACGAGAGUAAAAAGCAACUCUGUGCACAUGCGUGACCAGAGUUGCUGUCCAGUGCUGAAAUGGAAGAAGGGCGCAUUGGAGGGAAAUGGAGUGCACGAGCAGCUCGUCCUGAUCGCUGUUCAGGUGCUGAACUGGCUGGCUGUUGUUGCCAGUCUCCAAUGUUUUCUCCAGGAAUUAGGAGGUGUUGAUGCCAAGGUUGCAGCAACAUAAGCUGGAGCCGGUGAAUCCUUAUUUGUGGGUCUACUCCAUUAACCUUUACCCCAAGCUGUGGGCCAAUCUGGAGGCUUGUGUUACAAACCGUGCAGCAGAGGUUGCUGGAAGUGACUGUACAUGGAAACAGACAAAUGGCC
rnacentral:lncRNA from 1 species